rnacentral:rRNA from 1 species
GUCCACGCUGUAAACGAUGAGAACUAGGUGUCGUGGGUGUUGACCCCCGCGGUGCCGUAGCUAACGCAUUAAGUUCUCCGCCUGGGAAGUACGGUCGCAAGAUUAAAACUCAAAGGAAUUGACGGGGGCCCGCACAAGCGGUGGAGCAUGUGGUUUAAUUCGACGCAACGCGCAGAACCUUACCCAGACUUGACAUCCUGGAAAGCUGGCCCAAAAGUCGGCGUGCCCGCAAGGGAAUCCAGAGACAGGUGCUGCAUGGCUGUCGU